rnacentral:rRNA from 1 species
CCUACGGGUGGCUGCAGUGAGGAAUCUUGCGCAAUGGGGGAAACCCUGACGCAGCAACGCCGCGUGAGUGAAGAAGGCCUUCGGGUUGUAAAGCUCUGUCAGGUGGGAAGAAAUACUUGGUGCUAAUAUCACCGAGGGUUGACGGUACCACCAGAGGAAGCACCGGCUAACUCCGUGCCAGCAGCCGCGGUAAGACGGAGGGUGCAAGCGUUGUUCGGAAUUAGUGGGGGUAGGGAGCGUGUAGGCGUUUGAAAGCCCUUGGCUCAACCAAGGAAGUGCAUCUGAAACUGGUUGACUUGAGUACGGGAGAGGAGAGUGGAAUUCCUGGAGUAGAGGUGAAAUUCGUAGAUCUCAGGAGGAACACCGGUGGCGAAGGCGACUCUCUGGACCGAUACUGACGCUGAGACGCGAAAGCGUGGGGAGCAAACAGGAUUAGAUACCCGAGUAGUC